CCCCGCCCGCGUCGCCCUUCCCGGGGAAUGCUGGGAGGCGUAGUUUGGGUGGCUGCCUUGGCGCCCCUCCCCCUCCUGCUGCUGCCAUCAUCCUCAUCAUCCUCCACGCCACCGCCACUUCCAAGGCGCGGGUUGAGGCUUCUUGCAAAAGCGGGAGGGGGGGCGUGAAAAAGAUGGGGAGGCAUGCCUUUUCUUUUUUUGGAGGGGGGCUACACUUGCCAGCCAGCAUCCUCCUCGGAGGGGGGUUGCUUAGUGGAUUCUGGGAGUUGUAGUCUCCCAAGGUAGUCCACGCUCCGCUGCUGGCCAAGGUGAAGCUGGGGGUACGGUGGGGGGGGUGGGAGGAUCUUCCAAGGGGAAAGUUUGCGGCUCUCGCUCCAGGUGGGAAGGGGGGGCGGCCGGACACCCACCCACAGGUAGCUUCUCUCCAGGAACUCCUCCUCCUCCUCCUCCGGGGAGGGAUCCAGCCACCUGGGGAGGUAACAAGCCAGGGAUCCCCCGAUUCUGGAAGGGGGGGGAUUGAAUAAAUAAAAGCGUUUGCACACGCGCGCGCGCGCACACCCAUCAAAGGCAAACGUGCAAAGGUGAGCUCCUCCCGGCCUCGCCAGAUAGGCAGGAAAGGGAAGCGGGGAAACUCCUCCAUCCAUUGCAGCCGCGAAGGAAGGGAGGAAAGGAGGCGCCCGCGCUCUCGCCUGGCGCGCGGAUGGGAAAGGCGCGCAUCCCGUAUAUGGAACCAGAGCAGGACUCCUGCGCGCGCCCCCCCCAAUACAGAGAGAGAGAGUACAAUACAAGGGCUCUAUCAUCUACAGGCAACCUCUCGCAAAAAUCCUGCCUGGAUUUUAAAAAAAAGGAUUUUUAAAAAAGGAACCCCAGAAGGAUGAUGACCCAGGAAGGCUGCACGGUUGUAGCUACAACAUCCUCCGCCUGGCAGAUGGUCUUCCAUCCUUUGGCUUCAAUCCUUCCAGCAGAGGAGCGCUCGCCGCCUCCUGAGGCCACCUGCUCCACCGGCCAGCCCUUCUCUCCAUUCGGAGGGUCCCAAAUGCUGCUUCCCUCAAGGCCACUGGGCCGGCUUUCUGGAGCAACAGAGAAGAAAGAGGUCCCUUUCCAUCCCCUGCAUGGCAGGCCUUCAAGUGCUUGGGAAGGGCUGUCAGGAUCUCCCCUCCGUCUUCCCGAACUUGGAAAUGUGACCUCUUUCUGUCCCUCCCUCCCCCCCCCUUUGGAAGGAAAUGCUUCUCUUCCCCAGGCUAAACAUUCCCAGCUUUUUCCCCAGCUGUUCUUUGCAGACAUAUGGUUUCCAGGCCUCCAGGCCAUCUUUGUCAUCCUCCUUUUUACAUCCGCUUCCUUGCUUCUGAAAAAUUCCUCAGAUGUCGUUCUUAAAAUGUGGCUGCUGGAAUGGGACGGCUGAGCCCAGGCGCUGUCUCUUUAGCAGCGAAGAGGGAAGAAAUUUCGGCGGGGAGCAUGGGGGCGAUAAAUGCGUUCUGUCUCCGUUGUGGAGUCUGGAAUCAUGCUUCUUUGGAGUUUGGCGACAAGGGCGUAAUAUAGCAACAUUGCUAAAGUGCCAUAAUCAGGAACAACCGUAUCGAUAGAAUGAAGAACAUUUACCCUUUUUAAAACAAAUAGUAUUUAAGGGCGCUUUAGACUCGGUCCAAUUGCUGUGCUGCUUUCUUACUCGCCUGUUGUGAUCCUUACUUCCACAUGGCAUAGACGACCCCUUGAGCGACCCUACUUGGUCUGACUGCUUUAAGAAGAUGGGGGUGGGUGGGGUGGGACUCCUAUCCUUGCCCCCUCUUGUCUCCUCCCACUUCUAGGAGGAAGAUUUCAGGGGGGGGGUUGCAAAUGAUGCAGCACAAUAACUUGGCUGUAAUUGGUUUAAUAUUUUUGCUUCCUCCCCUGCUUUGCUACUUAUUUAGUCUGUGUUCUAUUGUUGUGUCAAAAACACACACAAAAAAUGCCCCCAAUAAGGGCCCUUGUCCCCUCCUAUUUCUGGGAAGAUGUUUUCCAUUUCUCCCCCCCUCCCCCGCCAAUCUUUUUUAAAAAAAUUUCAAACUAAUGCUCUGCAUUAGCACUGUCAUUGUAAAGGUUUUUUUAUAAUUACUUCUUCUGCUUAUCCAUGGAGCAGAAGAAGUGUUUCAUUCCCCACUGUCAUGAAAUGGCUAGGCCGUCUUCGUAAGCUACUUAAUGAUAUUGUCAAAUUGUCAAAUGAACCCAAGCAGCAGAAGGGGAAUUGACAGCUGCACUUUGGUUCAAUUUCCAGCUAUCAUGCACACUGGGAAUGAACCAAAAUGGAGUGACCUUGCCCACACCAAAAAUGUAGAAGCCCCUGAUGAGGACUCAGAAAGGUUGAAGUAGGAACAUGCGGUACAAGCCUGUCCACUCCAGCAAUUGCAUUGUGUGAUUGCUGGAAAAAGGAGUGAACCAGCCCGUCCCUGCAGUGGACGAAACAGCAAGACAAAGGCCCACCCAAUUUGACUUUGGAUGCUGCUCUUCUGAAAUUAAGCCCAAUCUUUCUCCGUGUUACGUGGCCUCAAGUCACAUCCAACUUAUCAUGACCUUGAUUGUUAAGGCAAGUAGUUUUUAUCAGUGCCACUCUCCCAAAUGAGUUUACAUGGCUGAUCAGGAUUUGAACCCAGGUCUCCAAAGUCCUAGUCCAUUAUUCUAUCCAUGAGAGCACAUCAAGUAUCCCAGAACCUAAGCCUUACCUUAGUAAGAAGAGCUAAACAGCGAAGGGUUAAAAAAGCUUCGAGGAACUCCUGAGAGAGAAAUAAAAUAGCUUUGUUUUGGGGGAGGUUGAGGCUG
ensembl:lncRNA